GAUGAACGCUGGCGGCGUGCCUAAUACAUGCAAGUCGAGCGAACGGACGAGAAGCUUGCUUCUCUGAUGUUAGCGGCGGACGGGUGAGUAACACGUGGAUAACCUACCUAUGAGACUGGGAUAACUUCGGGAAACCGGAGCUAAUACCGGAUAAUAUUUUGAACCGCAUGGUUCAAAAGUGAAAGACGGUCUUGCUGUCACUUAUAGAUGGAUCCGCGCUGCAUUAGCUAGUUGGUAAGGUAACGGCUUACCAAGGCAACGAUGCAUAGCCGACCUGAGAGGGUGAUCGGCCACACUGGAACUGAGACACGGUCCAGACUCCUACGGGAGGCAGCAGUAGGGAAUCUUCCGCAAUGGGCGAAAGCCUGACGGAGCAACGCCGCGUGAGUGAUGAAGGUCUUCGGAUCGUAAAACUCUGUUAUUAGGGAAGAACAUAUGUGUAAGUAACUGUGCACAUCUUGACGGUACCUAAUCAGAAAGCCACGGCUAACUACGUG
rnacentral:rRNA from 1 species